rnacentral:lncRNA from 1 species
CCGACCCGGUUUCUGGCGCGGUGCGAUGGAGGUAGUGGAGGCCGCCGCCGCUCAGCUGGAAACUCUGAAAUUCAAUGGCACCGACUUUGGAGUUGGGGAAGGUCCGGCGGCUCCGUCUCCGGGCUCUGCCCCUGUGCCAGGGACACAGCCGCCGCUACAGUCGUUUGAGGGGUCCCCGGACGCUGGGCAGACCGUGGAGGUUAAGCCUGCCGGGGAGCAGCCUCUGCAGCCCGUUCUGAACGCCGUCGCGGCCGGGACCCCGGCGCCGCAGCCACAGCCACCGGCUGAAUCGCCGGCCUGCGGAGACUGCGUCACCUCCCCAGGAGCCGCAGAGCCUGCGCGGGCGCCGGACUCCUUGGAGACCUCGGACUCGGAUUCGGACUCGGACAGUGAAACAGAUUCAGAUAGUUCAAGUUCAUCGUCUUCCUCUUCAUCUUCCUCAUCGUCGUCUUCUUCCUCUUGUAUAUCACUUCCUCCAGUGCUGUCAGAUGGAGAUGAUGAUUUACAAAUUGAGAAGGAAAAUAAGAAUUUUCCUCUUAAAACAAAAGAUGAAUUACUUCUUAAUCUAUAGAGAAAAAAAAAAUUCAGUCAUGGCUCUCAGUACUCCAGGGAUUGGAUCCUACUUUCCAACCAUAUCUGAAAAGUGAAGGCUCACCUAAUAGCAUCAGGUAAGAAAAAUGAAACCAGAAAGAAAGAGACUUGUCUGAAGUCAUAUUAGUGGGGAGGAGCAGAUCUGAACUGGUAAUAGAUACAUUCCAAACUGCUGUGUUUUUAGUAUUUGUGGAGACCUGCAUAGCAACGUUGGAAUCUGGUCGUUUGGACUUUCUCAUUAUUUGGUUUCUGAAUAAUCAUGUAGCAUAUUUUCUCAAAGUGAAGGAUGAAUGUAUCAUCUAAUGUAAGCUUUUUAAAAUUGUAUUUGCUUGGAUUAUAUUGCCUCUCAAUAAAGCUUUUGACUUGGAACUGUGUAGUGUGUGGGAAAUAAAUGGUGGAGCUUCUUUAGUAUGUUGAAUUUUAGUAGUUCAUUUGCGAAAUGCUGUGGUGUUUGGGGAUGUUUAUUUCCAUGCAAGCUUUUCAUUUGCUAAUGAUGUGAAUGAAAUAGUUUUCUUCCUUUCCUUUCCUACUCUUUGUUAUGUGUAGAAGUAUUGAAUAAAUGAGUCCA